rnacentral:rRNA from 1 species
UACGGGGGGAGCAAGCGUUGUCCGGAAUUAUUGGGCGUAAAGAGCUCGUAGGCGGUUUGUUGCGUCGGCUGUGAAAUCCCGAGGCUCAACCUCGGGUCUGCAGUCGAUACGAGCAAACUAGAGUGUUGCAGGGGAGACUGGAAUUCCUGGUGUAGCGGUGAAAUGCGCAGAUAUCAGGAGGAACACCGGUGGCGAAGGCGGGUCUCUGGGCAACAACUGACGCUGAGGAGCGAAAGCGUGGGGAGCGAACAGG